UUUGAAUCGUCCUCAUUUGCCGCUACCGACUAGAAUCCGUUACACAUAUUCUAGUCUCACCUGUAAAAGUCUUGUAAUUUAUAGUGCAGUGAAAUUGUUAUAUUAGUGUUGAAUGUUAACAGCAUUCCAGUAGCGGCGAAAUGUGUCAGGGAGUUGGUCCCAACAAUUCACCAUCCAAACUAAACGCAAAGGACCGCGCUCAACGUCAAAAGAGGUCGUUUGGUUGGUGGUGCAUGGAGUGUCACAAAUAGUGAACCUCCAAGUUGGCAAAGCGCGCCAACCCGAGAAUUCUGUAGAGCGCAAUGGCGGAGGCCAUCCGAUGAGUUCAUUGUUUAACCACUAGACACGAAAGCACAAGUACUAAAACAAAACUUAAACGCACAGGUUUUUUCUACCAAAGACAAAGACACAAAACCAAAGACACCAAAACCGUUGCUGCGCCAGG
rnacentral:lncRNA from 1 species